GAAUAUUACAACAUUGAUUACAAGAUCUGAUGCAAGCAGGUUUAUUGUUUAAAGGGCAAAGCUGAGUAUUGUAAAUUAAUGAAGCACUGUACAGACCAAUGAAGGAUUUGUAACUACUUGUUCCCAAUGAGCCAACCCCUGAGGCCAUGUAGUGCGUUGAUCUGGUUUGUACUAUGGUUUUAUAUAUUUUUUUUUUUUUUCUUUUUGUUGAAGACUGAGAAUUUCUUUGAGCUGUACACCCCUGAACUGAAAGUUGGUCCUAGUCUUUUUGCAAAACCGCCAUACUUUUGACACAGUGAAGUUCAGGUCGCAGAAAAUUCACUCUGUAGGACAGAGUUCGCACGUAAGGUUAUAUUUAACAGUAUUAAACUUGUUCCUUAUAUUAAAGUCUGGUUUGCCAAAAUGCGGUUAAUGGGAAGUCUUUGUUCUGUUGGUAGUAAUGUCUGGUAUUUGUUCUGCAAUUUCAGAAGUUGGUGUCUUUUUGUUCCCUCUUUAAAAUCACCACUUACUGUUUGUGAAACAAGUCUUGUCAUUUGUAGAAACAAUUUCACAUUUGUGUAGACUUUGAAAUCCUGUUGUACAAGCAUGAUUGAGAAUAUUUCUGUUUUUGUACGUUCUGAUUUGAGUGGCAUUAGGGCUGUGUACAGAACAUCUCUCUUUCUCCUGUCUGUAACUUCCACGUCCCAUUGUUUUUGUAAAGCUCAGGGAGAUUAGCCGCCAUCUUUCUUUUAGUUUAUUUUGUAUUUAGACCACUUUUUUCUCUGACAAUUACAGAGGCUGUAAAUAAACAUUUGAAUUUGCUAUCC